rnacentral:lncRNA from 10 species
UGACAGUUUUAUAAGAGUCUGGCGUUUCCCCUCCUUGUGCUUUUCUCUCGUGUGCCAUGUGAAGAACCUUGCUUCCUCUUUGCCUUCCACCAUGAUUACUCUUACCAGUUGUUUUAAUUGCUAAGACAACCCAGUUCUGCAUGAGCUACAGCCAACUUCACAAAGCUUCAGGUGCCUGGAUGUUGAGGGGCAAAUAGGACUGUUCACUGAAGGAGCUAGAGAAUGGAAGAGAAGGUUGUGUCAGAUAGAAAUAACAGAAGCUUUCUGAAAUGAAAACAGAAAUGUUACAACUUGCACCACAGUACUGGACUGAAACGAAGAUGUAACACAGCCAUAAUAAUUUAAAUUAAUAGCAAAUAAAUAAAGAAAAAAAGAACUUCAUUGUGAGGACCAUAGUCAUGGGAUAGCUCUGUCUUUUCGGGGAAAGUGGAGUAGAGGGACAGAGUCACCCCAGGAGAAAAAAUGCUUAAAUUAAGACUCCCUGAGAGACUGAAUAAGAGUAUGAUUAGUUCAGCCUUGCUUUCAUCCUCCACUUCCCCCUCCCACUGUAGACUUCAGUUUUAAUAAUGAUUAAAGAAUAAUGCCUGAAUCCCAUCUGAAUGGCUUUUGAGAUUUAACUCACUGAAUCUAUUCAUAGCUUUGAGCUUGUAAGGGGGACUGAACAGAUCUGCACAACUAAUCGUGGAAUAUUACACUGAUACUUCAUCUCCCACAUCAAUACCAAUUACGCCUGCACAGAGAGCAUCACAUAUUAUUUUAAUAGGAUAGGAAUUUUUAAUCCAGUCAGGUAGUUCUGGAUGAAUGUGUUUGUAUGUCUGUCAUUAAAAUUUGGUGGCUCAUGCUGCUCAAGACAGACACAUUUUGAAUGUUUAAAAUUUCCACAGAUGUUAUUUAUCCAUCAGGAUGGAAAAUUUCCUGCUCUCCAGUGUAUAGAUUCUGCCUCAUUAACAUAAAUAAAGAAUAAGGCAUAACAACAACAAUCUUGCUUAAUGUGUACACACAGAAAUAUUGUCAUAGGCAUCUGGCAAUCAGUUGGAGACGGUGAAAACUGCUAAAUGAAUGAAAGUGGCAGAACUAGCAGAAGUAUGAGAUCCCAUACUGGAGAAAAAGGCUCACUGUUAAAAUAUUUUGUUUCUUUGUUCUACUCCUUUUUUAUUUUCAAGGCAUUUUAUUCAGCUUGGACCUUCAGAUAAAAG